ACGCUGGCGGCGUGCUUAACACAUGCAAGUCGAACGAUGAUGCCCAGCUUGCUGGGCGGAUUAGUGGCGAACGGGUGAGUAAUACGUGAGUAACCUGCCCUUGACUCUGGGAUAAGCCUGGGAAACUGGGUCUAAUACUGGAUACUACCUCUUACCGCAUGGUGGGUGGUGGAAAGGGUUUUACUGGUUUUGGAUGGGCUCACGGCCUAUCAGCUUGUUGGUGGGGUAAUGGCUCACCAAGGCGACGACGGGUAGCCGGCCUGAGAGGGUGACCGGCCACACUGGGACUGAGACACGGCCCAGACUCCUACGGGAGGCAGCAGUGGGGAAUAUUGCACAAUGGGCGGAAGCCUGAUGCAGCGACGCCGCGUGAGGGAUGACGGCCUUCGGGUUGUAAACCUCUUUCAGUAGGGAAGAAGCGAGAGUGACGGUACCUGCAGAAGAAGCGCCGGCUAACUACGUGCCAGCAGCCGCGGUAAUACGUAGGGCGCAAGCGUUGUCCGGAAUUAUUGGGCGUAAAGAGCUCGUAGGCGGUUUGUCGCGUCUGCUGUGAAAGCCCGGGGCUCAACCCCGGGUCUGCAGUGGGUACGGGCAGACUAGAGUGCAGUAGGGGAGACUGGAAUUCCUGGUGUAGCGGUGAAAUGCGCAGAUAUCAGGAGGAACACCGAUGGCGAAGGCAGGUCUCUGGGCUGUUACUGACGCUGAGGAGCGAAAGCAUGGGGAGCGAACAGGAUUAGAUACCCUGGUAGUCCAUGCCGUAAACGUUGGGCACUAGGUGUGGGGGACAUUCCCACGUUUUCCGCGCCGUAGCUAACGCAUUAAGUGCCCCGCCUGGGGAGUACGGCCGCAAGGCUAAAACUCAAAGGAAUUGACGGGGGCCCGCACAAGCGGCGGAGCAUGCGGAUUAAUUCGAUGCAACGCGAAGAACCUUACCAAGGCUUGACAUUCACCGGACCGCCCCAGAGAUGGGGUUUCCCUUCGGGGCUGGUGGACAGGUGGUGCAUGGUUGUCGUCAGCUCGUGUCGUGAGAUGUUGGGUUAAGUCCCGCAACGAGCGCAACCCUCGUUCUAUGUUGCCAGCACGUGAUGGUGGGGACUCAUAGGAGACUGCCGGGGUCAACUCGGAGGAAGGUGGGGAUGACGUCAAAUCAUCAUGCCCCUUAUGUCUUGGGCUUCACGCAUGCUACAAUGGCCGGUACAAAGGGUUGCGAUACUGUGAGGUGGAGCUAAUCCCAAAAAGCCGGUCUCAGUUCGGAUUGAGGUCUGCAACUCGACCUCAUGAAGUCGGAGUCGCUAGUAAUCGCAGAUCAGCAACGCUGCGGUGAAUACGUUCCCGGGCCUUGUACACACCGCCCGUCAAGUCACGAAAGUUGGUAACACCCGAAGCCGGUGGCCUAACCCCUUGUGGAGGA
rnacentral:rRNA from 1 species